ensembl:lncRNA
GUUUACACAAGUUGAACCUGUGGUUUAUUUUUCAGCAAUGUCCACGAGGCGGCGCUUGGCGGACAGGGAGCAGAGGCGCGUCACUGAAGCGUACGAGUCAAACUCAUGAGUCAUGGCCGAAAGUGCGCGAGUUAAGCUUAGUGACGAUGUCUGCUUUGCUGGCUGAAGAUGUCUGCUCCCGGCUUAGGGAAGCCACACAGGUACAUAAUGAAGCAGUUAAAUCAAUGGCGAUUGUUCGAUGGCGUUAGUGUGGCCAGAAGCGAAUACAUAUUUUUAAACGAGACGAGGCACAAUCUCUAAACCAAAGAGAUUCGCUGCUGAAGUGUCCAACUGAUGUGGAGAACAAGCCUCCAAGGACGUUCAUUCGCAGAGACGGACGAACCCCCGCUCGCUGGUUCUAGCAGUGAAGAGGGCGAACCGGAUGAGUCCGAGCCGUGCACUUCCACCGAUGAUGACAGCUCCCUGGGUGGACAAGAGCAGGUGGUCGCACCAGGCUUAGCCACACCUCCAAACAAUGCUGGCAGAGACCCUACUAUCUGAGACCCGGACUCAGAUUCGUCGCGAUAUGAAUGGAUCUUUACGGGAUAUGUUAGUGCAGGCUGGGCCAUAUCAGGAUAAGGUAGGGGAGUUGAGGGCCAACGAAAAUGUUCGGUGGCCAACUACAAUAUGAGGAUGGCGAACGGAGAGAGAGUGGAGAUACCAUGGCUCGUUAAUUCCAAGCAAAAUGAUGCGGCCUUCUAUUUUUGCUGUUUUUCACGAGGGCAAAUCUGCGCUGGUCUUGGAUGGAACCAGGGACUGGGAAUAAUCUGUGCCACCUCCUCAGCUCGCAUGAGAAGUCGCAUGACCGCCUAGAUAGUAUCCAGAGGUGGAAGGAGCUGGAGAUCAGGCUGGUGUCCAAGGAAGCUAUCGAUGCCCAAGCCCAACGGGCUAUUGACAGAGAGACUCUCCAUUGGCAGACCAUGGACAGCUACCGAGAGAAAACAUCGCUGACUGCAAUGCAGCAUCACAGCAAAGGGAAGAGACCACUCUAGGCGGGCCACGAAUUGAAGAAAUGCUGAAAUGUAUGUUGGACAAUCAAAUUCGGUGAAGUCUGAGCCAUGAACUAGAACAGCUUAACUGCGUAUAUGGUGAAGAGCCUGCAGACUCCAUAUGGUGAAGAGACUCCAUAUGGUGAAGAGCCUGGUUCAGAACCCUGUACCUCGGCUCGUAAGUACGCAUCCUGGUGUCCAGCGUCGUGUACUGCAUCCUGGAGCCGCUGGUCGCCUCCAACUCCCUCAACGACCACUGGACCCUUAUGGAGUACGCAGCUCUGUGGGUCACCCACAUGUUCUGGACCCAUGGAGACCUGGUCAGUGGUCUGUUGUCUCUGCAGAAGGUUCUGUCAGACCCGGUCCGCCCGCUGUGUUCUCACUAUGGAGUUGUAGGGGGCUACAUGCACUUAGAGGAAAUGCUAUUGAGUGAGUCAUAUACCCUUACCUGCAAGCUGUCCUGGAUGACUACUCUGUCUCCAAUGCCCAGGUGAAAGCAGACAGACACAAGUCUAUGGAGCAAUCCUGUGGAGCACCUGCUAAAGAUUAGAGCCCUGUCUCUGUCCCUGCCAGCAGAGGGGUCGACAGCACCCAGCCACGCUUCGGGAGUGUGAUUUCCGCCGGGCUCAGCCUCUCUCCGAGGCCACGCUGGGCAUCGUCAGUCCCCUGCAGGGACCUGGGGGAGCUGGAACCCCCUGGAAUGACUGGACCACAUCCCCCUGCCCGCCAUGUACUGUGAGCAGGUGGUUAAGAGUGUUGGGCUAGUAACCAAAAGGUUGUUGGUUCGAAUCACCGAGCCGACGAGGUGAAAUUUUCUGUCUGUGCCUUUGAGCAAGACACUCAAGUCUAAUUCCACCUGUAAAGCACAGCUGUCGCUAUUUGAUAUUUGAUAUUAUUUAUAAAUAUUGGAUUUAGUUGCAUAUAUUAUUAAGUUGCAUACAAUAACUGUACCAUUUACAAUGCACUUCUCUGUGCAAACAGGUAAUAACUUUCUAUCAUCUUACACAUUGUCCUUGGGAUUGGUGGACAGUCAAACUGAAAGGAAGCAACUUCUAUUGCUUAGGGAUGGAUCGACAUUUACAUAAUGGGUACCUGAUGGAAAAUGUGGGAGGUUCAUGCUUUUAAUAUUUCAGCCAAGGGGUUUCAAUUUUUUUUUAAAUCUAGUCCAGGGGAGGGUCAUGUCAUUUAUGAAAUGUCAAUAUUUUUCAGUUGCUUAUUAGGCUAUAUAUACACAUCUGCAUUGUUUGCUGUUUGGGGUUUUGGUCUGGGUUUCUGAACAGCACUUUGUGACAUCUGCUGAUGUAAAAAAGGCUUUAUAAAUACAUUUGAUUGUGUUGGAGUUUAUUUCGUCCUAUUUAAGAAAUAACAGGUAGCCUGCUAU